rnacentral:rRNA from 1 species
GACGAACGCUGGCGGCGUGCUUAACACAUGCAAGUCGAACGGAAAGGCCCUGCUUUUGUGGGGUGCUCGAGUGGCGAACGGGUGAGUAACACGUGAGUAACCUGCCCUUGACUUUGGGAUAACUUCAGGAAACUGGGGCUAAUACCGGAUAGGAGCUCCUGCUGCAUGGUGGGGGUUGGAAAGUUUCGGCGGUUGGGGAUGGACUCGCGGCUUAUCAGCUUGUUGGUGGGGUAGUGGCUUACCAAGGCUUUGACGGGUAGCCGGCCUGAGAGGGUGACCGGCGACAUUGGGACUGAGAUACGGCCCAGACUCCUACGGGAGGCAGCAGUGGGGAAUAUUGCACAAUGGGCGGAAGCCUGAUGCAGCAACGCCGCGUGCGGGAUGACGGCCUUCGGGUUGUAAACCGCUUUCGCCUGUGACGAAGCGUUAGUGACGGUAAUGGGUAAAGAAGCACCGGCUAACUACGUG